UGGGGAAUAUUGCACAAUGGGCGCAAGCCUGAUGCAGCGACGCCGCGUGGGGGAUGAAGGCCUUCGGGUUGUAAACCCCUUUCAGCAGGGAAGAAGCGAAAGUGACGGUACCUGCAGAAGAAGCGCCGGCUAACUACGUGCCAGCAGCCGCGGUAAUACGUAGGGCGCAAGCGUUGUCCGGAAUUAUUGGGCGUAAAGAGCUCGUAGGCGGUCUGUCGCGUCUGCUGUGAAAACCCGAGGCUCAACCUCGGGCCUGCAGUGGGUACGGGCAGACUAGAGUGUGGUAGGGGAGACUGGAAUUCCUGGUGUAGCGGUGGAAUGCGCAGAUAUCAGGAGGAACACCAAUGGCGAAGGCAGGUCUCUGGGCCACAACUGACGCUGAGGAGCGAAAGCAUGGGGAGCGAACAGGAUUAGAUACCCUGGUAGUCCAUGCCGUAAACGGUGGGCACUAGAUGUGGGGCUCUUUCCAUGAGUUCCGCGUCGCAGCUAACGCA
rnacentral:rRNA from 1 species